UCAACAAGUCUUUGGUUCUCACCAAUAGACUAUACAUGCUCCUCCAUUUUACUGCUCUUUCUUUCUUGGUUUAUUAUAGGCUGUGUUUCUUCUUUCAGGAUCCACAGACCCGAGAACCCCCUUUGUUCCCUUGGCUUCUUGUUUUUGCCUCUGAAAUCAUUCUCUCCUUCAUUUGGAUUCUUCAUCAAGCUUUUCGUUGGCACCCCAUUUCCAGAACUGUGUUUCCUGAAAGAUUACCUCAAGAUGACAAUCUCCCUCUCCUAGAUGUCUUCAUAUGCACUGCAGACCCCACUAAGGAACCCACUUUGGACGUAAUGAACACUUUGUUAUCGGCCAUGGCACUGGAUUACCCACCAGAGAAGCUGCAUCUGUAUGUUUCUGAUGAU
rnacentral:lncRNA from 1 species